rnacentral:rRNA from 1 species
CAGCAGCCACGGUAAUACGGAGGGGGCUAGCGUUGUUCGGAAUUACUGGGCGUAAAGCGCACGUAGGCGGCUUGGUAAGUUAGAGGUGAAAGCCUGGAGCUCAACUCCAGAAUUGCCCUUAAGACUGCCGAGCUAGCAGGUGAGAGAGGUAAGUGGAAUUCCGAGUGUAGAGGUGAAAUUCGUAGAUAUUCGCAGGAACACCAGUGGCGAAGGCGGCUAACUGGUCCAUAACUGACGCUGAGGUGCGAAAGCGUGGGGAGCAAACAGGAUUAGAUACCCCAGUAGUCCCUGUCUCUUAUAC